UACAGAGGUCCCAAGCGUUGUUCGGAUUCACUGGGCGUAAAGGGUGCGUAGGCGGUCGGGGUAAGUCUGACGUGAAAUCUCCAAGCCUAACUUGGAACUGCGUUGGAUACUAUCCGGCUUGAGGAAUGGAGGGGAGACUGGAAUACUUGGUGUAGCAGUGAAACGCGUAGAUAUCAAGUGGAACACCAGUGGCGAAGGCGAGUCUCUGGACAUUUCCUGACGCUGAGGCACGAAAGCCAGGGGAGCAAACGGG
rnacentral:rRNA from 1 species